rnacentral:rRNA from 1 species
UUCCAUGGCCAUGCCGCCAUGAACAAGCCUUGUCCUGUCUGAUCUCAGAAGCUAAGCAGGGUCGGGCCUGGUUAGUACUUGGAUAGGAGAACACCUAGGAAGACCAGAUGCUAUGGGCA